AACGAACGCUAGCGGCGUGCUUAACACACGCAAGUCGAACGUGAUCCGGGCUUCGGCCUGGUGAAAGUGGCGCACGGGUGAGUAACGCGUGGAUAACCUGCCUGAUGAUCUGGGAUAACAUCUCGAAAGGGGGGCUAAUACCGGAUAAGCCCACGGACUCUUCGGAGUUUGCGGGAAAAGAGGGGGACCUUCGGGCCUCUUGUCAUCCGAUGGGUCCGCGUCCCAUUAGCUAGUUGGCGGGGUAAUGGCCCACCCAGGCGACGAUGGGUAGCUGGUCUGAGAGGAUGAUCAGCCACACUGGAACUGAGACACGGUCCAGACUCCUACGGGAGGCAGCAGUGGGGAAUUUUGCGCAAUGGGGGAAACCCUGACGUAGCAACGCCGCGUGAGUGAUGAAGGCCCUUGGGUCGUAAAGCUCUGUCAGAGGGGAAGAAAUGGCGGGUGGUUAAUACCCACUUGUCUUGACGGUACCCUCAAAGGAAGCACCGGCUAACUCCGUGCCAGCCGCCGCUGUAAAAC
rnacentral:rRNA from 1 species